GGCCACAGCGCCCCCUACCGGCGCGGAAGAAACAUCAUGAGCGACUUUUUGACUUGGUUAGGCCUAUUCACUAACUUCCACAAUGAAACAAAUCAUCAUCAUUCAUUUUGUCACGAAAAAUAGCAACGACACCUAAAAUACACCCAAGAGCAAGCAUAGGAGGCAUCUGAAGAGCACAGUUCUGUUCAAAAGUUUGCUGUCGUUUUUCUGUACUAUGAAGAGGAAAAGGCUUGAAUAAAGACAGGACAUGGAAGGUGCAGAACACAAGU